rnacentral:rRNA from 1 species
UACGUAGGGUGCGAGCGUUGUCCGGAAUUAUUGGGCGUAAAGGGCUCGUAGGCGGUUUGUCACGUCAGGAGUGAAAACUCGGGGCUCAACCCCGAGCCUGCUUCUGAUACGGGCAGACUAGAGGUAUGCAGGGGAGAACGGAAUUCCUGGUGUAGCGGUGAAAUGCGCAGAUAUCAGGAGGAACAUCGGUGGCGAAGGCGGUUCUCUGGGCAUUACCUGACGCUGAGGAGCGAAAGUGUGGGGAGCGAACAGG